rnacentral:rRNA from 1 species
GGGUUGUGAGGUUAAGCGACUAAGCGUACACGGUGGAUGCCUAGGCCUCGAGAGGCGAUGAAGGACGUGCUAAUCUGCGAUAAGCGUCGGUAAGGUGAUAUGAACCGUUAUAACCGACGAUAUCCGAAUGGGGAAACCCAGUGCAAUUCGUUGCACUAUCGUUUGAUGAAUACAUAGUCAAACGAGGCGAACCGAGGGAACUGAAACAUCUCAGUACCCCGAGGAAAAGAAAUCAACCGAGAUUCCCCUAGUAGCGGCGAGCGAACGGGGAGCAGCCCAGAGUCUUAAUCAGCAUUAGCAUCAGGAGAACAGUCUGGAAAGGCUGGCAGUAAAGGGUGAUAGCCCCGUAUCCGAAGGUGUUAGUGUUGUGAACUCGACGAGUAGGGCGGGACACGUGUUAUCCUGUCUGAAUAUGGGGGGACCAUCCUCCAAGGCUAAAUACUCCUGAUUGACCGAUAGUGAACCAGUACCGUGAGGGAAAGGCGAAAAGAACCCCGGCGAGGGGAGUGAAAUAGAACCUGAAACCGUGUACGUACAAGCAGUGGGAGCACCUUUAUGGGUGUGACUGCGUACCUUUUGUAUAAUGGGUCAGCGACUUAUAUUCUGUAGCAAGGUUAACCGUAUAGGGGAGCCGUAGGGAAACCGAGUCUUAACUGGGCGAAUGAGUUGCAGGGUAUAGACCCGAAACCCGGUGAUCUAGCCAUGGGCAGGUUGAAGGUUGGGUAACACUAACUGGAGGACCGAACCGACUAAUGUUGAAAAAUUAGCGGCAAUCUUGUGGCUGGGGGUGAAAGGCCAAUCAAACCGGGAGAUAGCUGGUUCUCCCCGAAAGCUAUUUAGGUAGCGCCUCGUGAACUCAUCUUCGGGGGUAGAGCACUGUUUCGACUAGGGGGUCAUCCCGACUUACCAACUCGAUGCAAACUACGAAUACCGAAGAAUGUUAUCACGGGAGACACACGGCGGGUGCUAACGUUCGUCGUGAAGAGGGAAACAACCCAGACCGCCAGCUAAGGUCCCAAAGUCAUAGUUAAGUGGGAAACGAAGUGGGAAGGCUCAGACAGCCAGGAUGUUGGCUUAGAAGCAGCCAUCAUUUAAAGAAAGCGUAAUAGCUCACUGGUCGAGUCGGCCUGCGCGGAAGAUGUAACGGGGCUAAACUAUGCACCGAAGCUGCGGCAGCGAUAUUUAAAUAUUGUUGGGUAGGGGAGCGUUCUGUAAGCCUGUGAAGGUGUGCUGUGAGGCAUGCUGGAGGUAUCAGAAGUGCGAAUGCUGACAUAAGUAACGAUAAUGCGGGUGAAAAACCCGCACGCCGGAAGACCAAGGGUUCCUGUCCAACGUUAAUCGGGGCAGGGUGAGUCGACCCCUAAGGCGAGGCAGAAAUGCGUAGUCGAUGGGAAACGGGUUAAUAUUCCCGUACUGGUGAUAAUUGCGAUGGGGGGACGGAGAAGGCUAGGCUAUCCGGGCGACGGUUGUCCCGGUUUAAGGAUGUAGGCAGGUGAAUUAGGCAAAUCCGGUUCACUAUAUGCUGAGGUCUGAUGACGAGCCACUACGGUGGUGAAGUAGCUCAUGCCCCGCUUCCAGGAAAAGCCUCUAAGCUCUAGAUUAUCAUUAAUCGUACCCCAAACCGACACAGGUGGUCAGGUAGAGAAUACUCAGGCGCUUGAGAGAACUCGGGUGAAGGAACUAGGCAAAAUGGUGCCGUAACUUCGGGAGAAGGCACGCUGGCACUAGGUGAAGUGGUUUACCCAUGGAGCUGAAGCCAGUCGCAGAUACCAGCUGGCUGCAACUGUUUAUUAAAAACACAGCACUGUGCAAACACGAAAGUGGACGUAUACGGUGUGACGCCUGCCCGGUGCUGGAAGGUUAAUUGAUGGGGUUAUCCGUAAGGAGAAGCUCUUGAUCGAAGCCCCAGUAAACGGCGGCCGUAACUAUAACGGUCCUAAGGUAGCGAAAUUCCUUGUCGGGUAAGUUCCGACCUGCACGAAUGGCGUAAUGAUGGCCAGGCUGUCUCCACCCGAGACUCAGUGAAAUUGAACUCGCUGUGAAGAUGCAGUGUACCCGCGGCAAGACGGAAAGACCCCGUGAACCUUUACUAUAGCUUGACACUGAACAUUGAGCCUUGAUGUGUAGGAUAGGUGGGAGGCUUCGAAGCGUGGACGCCAGUCUGCGUGGAGCCAACCUUGAAAUACCACCCUUUAAUGUUUGAUGUUCUAACGUUGCCCCGUAAUCCGGGGUGCGGACAGUGUCUGGUGGGUAGUUUGACUGGGGCGGUCUCCUCCCAAAGAGUAACGGAGGAGCACGAAGGUUGGCUAAGCAUGGUCGGACAUCAUGCGGUUAGUGCAAAGGCAUAAGCCAGCUUGACUGCGAGAGUGACGGCUCGAGCAGGUACGAAAGUAGGUCUUAGUGAUCCGGUGGUUCUGAAUGGAAGGGCCAUCGCUCAACGGAUAAAAGGUACUCCGGGGAUAACAGGCUGAUACCGCCCAAGAGUUCAUAUCGACGGCGGUGUUUGGCACCUCGAUGUCGGCUCAUCACAUCCUGGGGCUGAAGUAGGUCCCAAGGGUACGGCUGUUCGCCGUUUAAAGUGGUACGCGAGCUGGGUUUAGAACGUCGUGAGACAGUUCGGUCCCUAUCUGCCGUGGGCGUUGGAAGAUUGAAAGGGGCUGCUCCUAGUACGAGAGGACCGGAGUGGACGCACCACUGGUGUUCGGGUUGUCAUGCCAAUGGCAUUGCCCGGUAGCUAAGUGCGGAAGAGAUAACCGCUGAAAGCAUCUAAGCGGGAAACUUGCCUUGAGAUGAGUCUUCCCUGACCCUUUAAGGGUCCUAAAGGAACGUUUAAGACUAAGACGUUGAUAGGUUGGGUGUGUAAGCGUAGCGAUACGUUGAGCUAACCAAUACUAAUGAACCGUGAGGCUUAACCUGACAACACCGAAGGUGUUUUAG